rnacentral:misc_RNA from 1 species
AAAGUAUUGAAGGGAACUCAAACCAAAAUUAUGAGCUGAAACAACUGUGUAGUCAUAUUGCAUAACCAGCUGAUGCUCAGACUCAUCAACAAACAAGAAUCAAUUGGUGAAGCUUGCUUCUCAUACUCGGUCCCUCUCGACAAUUAAUGACCGUUUGUCACCAUCUGCUUGUCGUUGUCUUCUUCUCUCUGCUGGUAUACUGACUUUCGGCGAGUGAUUUCAUUCCUGAUAGACUCUUUGAUGGACUCAUAAUGCAGAAUAGCUAUAAUUUUGAGCUUUCUUUCUCCUUUCAGAUCUCCACCACGCUUGAUCACAGGCAAUUGUUUGAUUCCUUUGGCCACCAUUAUCUGCUUAGCAAUUGCUAGGUCGGUAUCAGGAUAACAAGUUAGAAGU